rnacentral:rRNA from 1 species
UACGUAGGGUGCAAGCGUUGUCCGGAAUUAUUGGGCGUAAAGAGCUCGUAGGCGGCUUGUCACGUCGACUGUGAAAACCCGGGGCUCAACUCCGGGCCUGCAGUCGAUACGGGCUGGCUUGAGUGCGGUAGGGGAGACUGGAAUUCCUGGUGUAGCGGUGAAAUGCGCAGAUAUCAGGAGGAACACCGGUGGCGAAGGCGGCAUCCUGGACCGGCAUUGACGCUGAGGAGCGAAAGCCAGGGGAGCAAACGGG